rnacentral:rRNA from 5 species
GACGGCAAUAGCGCCGUGGAACCACCUGAUCCCAUGCCGAACUCAGAAGUGAAACGCGGUAGCGCCGAUGGUAGUGUGGCAUUCGCCAUGCGAGAGUAGGACACUG